rnacentral:rRNA from 1 species
GACGAACGCUGGCGGCGUGCUUAACACAUGCAAGUCGAACGCUGAAGCCUGGCUUUUGUUGGGUGGAUGAGUGGCGAACGGGUGAGUAACACGUGAGUAACCUGCCCUCUUCUUUGGGAUAACGCCCGGAAACGGGUGCUAAUACUGGAUAUUCACUUGCCUUCGCAUGGGGGUGGGUGGAAAGGGUUUUUUUCUGGUGGGGGAUGGGCUCGCGGCCUAUCAGCUUGUUGGUGGGGUGAUGGCUUACCAAGGCUUUGACGGGUAGCCGGCCUGAGAGGGUGACCGGUCACAUUGGGACUGAGAUACGGCCCAGACUCCUACGGGAGGCAGCAGUGGGGAAUAUUGCACAAUGGGCGCAAGCCUGAUGCAGCGACGCCGCGUGAGGGAUGGAGGCCUUCGGGUUGUGAACCUCUUUCGCUCAUGGUCAAGCCGCAACUCAUGGUUGUGGUGAGGGUAGUGGGUAAAGAAGCGCCGGCUAACUACGUGCCAGCAGCCGCGGUAAUACGUAGGGCGCGAGCGUUGUCCGGAAUUAUUGGGCGUAAAGGGCUUGUAGGCGGUUGGUCGCGUCUGCCGUGAAAUCCUCUGGCUUAACUGGGGGCGUGCGGUGGGUACGGGCUGACUUGAGUGCGGUAGGGGAGACUGGAACUCCUGGUGUAGCGGUGGAAUGCGCAGAUAUCAGGAAGAACACCGGUGGCGAAGGCGGGU